GUAGGCUAAACGUUAACCGUAAACUAGUUGUGAAACUGAUUCAAGGUUGUUUACAUCUAAAAUGCAAGACAGUAAAUUCUCAAAAUUUAUUUUAUGCAUGGGUGUACUACUGUUGUGUGUGCUUAAAAUGUAGAUUAUUACAAAGUAGCUCUAAUUUGAAAUUUUUUGCUGUUGACAGGUUUCCAUGUUGUCUGCUGUUGGAAGAACAUCUAUGAGGGACUGUGAAUAGAAUCUUUAUCUUCUGCUUAUAUACAACACUUACUCAUGGGCCAGUGGCACAAUUUCUAGCUGUACAAGGAUAUCAUGGUGUUUGAUAAGUUGAUGACAAUGAAACUAAUGACCAUGUUAACAUCAGAGGAAAAGCAAACUGGGAGAAGAAAGGACAACAUUGUUUUCGAUCUUGAAGGCAUGCGUAGACAUAGGACCAGGAAGGGGAGCUAGGAGUGGGAGAAGUGCCUGUGACUGAUAUAUGCACUAUCAGAUAGAAAUACAGUUCAAAAGGAAAUCUGAAAUAGUGAAAUAGCAGAAAUCAUGACUUACAUACUGUGUAAUCUGCUCUAAAACACAAACAUUUGAAUUUAAAAUGUGUUAAAUGCAAAACAGUUCUACUUACAAAAUGAAUCUUUCAGUAAAUGUUAAAUGCAGCUGAAAAGUGAUAUACAUGAAAUGUGUGAAAACAGUGCAAGUUAAGUUUGAUUUUUUGUUUUACAUGUAUACAAAACUGAAGAACUUGUAUCCAAUUCAUUUUCUGGAUGCACAGUGUUAUUGGAAUUUUUUUCAGAUAAUUUAAAAUUCUACAAGGUGAAGAUAUUUCAAAUAAUAUCUCGAGAAAAAAAAGUUUGCACAAUGAAUUGUUUUUCAAAAAUUUGCAGUUGUUUGUUCAUUGUUUUGCCAGUCCAUUACACUUAAACUUUACUUUAUUUAUUCUUAAUAUUUUUGUGAAUGGAUUAGAUUACUCAUUCACAAGGCAAAAUCAAGAAUUUGUUGGUUAAGGUUAAUGUUGUCUCAAGCUAAGUGAUGGACAGACUUUUGAGAAUAAUUAAAAUAAUUUGUCACAUAAAUCAAUAUUAAAUGA